CACAUAGAGGCAGCAGUAGAGAAUCUUGUGCAAUAAACGAAAGUAUGACACAGAGAGGAUACAUUUAAUUGAGCCCGUCAAAUUAAGUGCCAGCCGACGCGGUUAAACUUAAGGGCUGGUCUUUAUAAGUAAAAAGGCGUAAAGGAUGUGUAGGCUAAAAAACGAUCCAAGUAGGUAAAUGGAAUUUUUUUGGAGCGGUAGAAUGUGAGGAUAGAAAAUAGAACCCCAAAGGUAAAAACUAUUUACUACAAGGUAGGCUGAUACAUGGGAGUGUGGGGAGCAAACAGGAUUAGAGACCCUGGUAGUCCACACUGUGAACUUUGAAGAUGAUGCUUAGCAGGCCCGAAAGGUAAAAUCUUCCGCCUGAGUAGUACGAUCGCAAGAUUAAAAUUCAAAAACUUUGGCUGUUCACUAUUUCGAUUAGAGGAGCGUGUAGUUUAAUUCGAUGGUCCGCGUGUUACCUUACCUCAACUUGAAUCUAUGACCGGUAUUGCAUGGCCGUCGUAAGUUCGUGUAUUAAGCUAGAAGGGACCCAACCCGGGCAUUUGCCCGGAGGAAGUCAGGUCUUAUGAUCCGAAUGUUGGGGGAUUUUAUGCGCUACAUUUUCUUAUAUAAUGAGAAACCUGGAAGGUGAGUCUCUAAAGUAAGAGUUCGGAAGGUCGCUGUAAGACGACUGGAAGUUGAAUUUAAUAGUAAUCGGAAAGUAGGGCGUUCCGGUGAAUUGGUACAAGUGUUAGCACAAAUUGCCCGUCACCUUUACUUAGAAUGGUUAUUCGGACGUCUUCGGUGAUUACGAAUGCCUACGAG
rnacentral:rRNA from 1 species